rnacentral:lncRNA from 1 species
ACCAUUUUCGGUUAGUUAUUCAAUUUUUUUAAGUUUUGAUUUUACUAUCUAAUCUUUUAAUAUGUUUGGUUUGAAACACUUAACGGUAUUUUAACUUUAAAAUUUAAAUGUCUCGUUUUUCUUAACAAAUUUAGUUAGUAUAUAUUAUGUAAUUCUUGCAGCUAUAAAUUAAUUAAAGUAAGUAAUUAUUUUAAAUUUUAAAUUCAACAUAUCAUUGACUGAUUCAAAUUAAACAAAUUGAAAUGUAUAGCUGAUUCAAAAUGGUUCAAAAUUUAAAUAAGUUUUAUACGUUUUUUACAUAAAAUAAAUGUAGUUUUUCAGGCAUAGAUUUUU